rnacentral:lncRNA from 1 species
UAUAUAAUAGGAGAAAAAAUAUAUAAUAAUUUUUUAUAUAUAAUAGAAUAAUUAUAUAUUAAUAAUAUAUAUAAUAAAAAAUAUAUUAAAUAGUUUUUUAUUUAUUUAUUUUUUUCUUUCAAUCAAACAACCAUCAUGGAAAAUUAUUUUUCUUUUCCUACAAACCAAACAUUUGUCACAUCCCGGGGUCGAUUUUAAAAACCUUUUUAAAAUGAAUGCAAUCUUUGAAAUAAGAGUUGCGAAAAGCGUGCCUUUUUUUAUUUUUUACUUUUUUUUUUGAAUUCAACCUGGCCCACGUGACGUACAGACCCGCCACAAAUACAAAAUUUCUUUGUCCACUCGGACAGAGUCUCCUUUAUAUUUGUACGGCGUACCAACAACAAUAUCAGGAUCACAACAACAACAUCAAGAUUACAACAACAACCUGCAUUUACCAAUCCACUAACAGUUCAUGCGAUGCCUUUCCAUACAGCUAGCGAUCCUUAGAGAUGAUGCAUACCUCUAAACACUCUUUAGGCGCUGAAUGAUGCGAUUCACAAUACAACAGUCAUCCUAUUAAAAGUGUUCCCCACCCGAAAGUUUUGUUUUUAAACUCUAUCCAAUCAUUGAUAAAAAUCAUUUGAAAAUCUUUUUAAAAAUGUUUCCCACUCGGAAACUCCAUUUUGAAAUCGACUACCUCGAGGGAUAGAAAACUACAAAGUAUAAAUACAUAAAUCCAAGAACCAGGUAACCAUAAAUUCCAAUCGCAUGCAUAACAGAACAUCACCAAGUCAAACAGGUUCACAAAUACUCAACAGUAAUAGUGAUCAUCUAACUGAACCAUUUAAUUAUUUAGAUUAUUAAAUGCGAAAAUAAAAGAUAAUCAGGGUGACGGUUGCUACUGCCGGUUUAGCUAGUGCGUCCUCCCGUUGAGCCCAAAAGCCAACUUUACACCGUGGCGUCUCCGGAAAACCGGAUUAUUAUUCACUUUAAGUGAAAAUUAAAUAUCGCGUAAAAUCUCCAUUCUAACUCGUUUUUUUUCUGAAACUUGACGAGUGCUUUUGUAAUUAAAAUAUACACACAAAAAUAUCGUCAACAGAGAGUUUACCUGCACUGUCAAAAUCUCAGUCCUUACAUCAUUAAACAACGUAAACUUUUUUUUCCAUCGAAAAUUUUUAUCCAUAGUUUAACGUGGAACCAAAAGCACCCUUAGCUAUUUGAUGAGAUAAAUAAUAAAUAUUUUUAAAAUGAUGAAAUAUAACUAAUAAAUAAGAGUAAUGCUUCUAUACUUUUUUUUUGUUACCGUUCAUUCACGCGUAUUCAACGGCUCAGAUUUAGUUUUUUUUAAAUUGUGACCUGCAAUAGCAGGUCACUUUGGGAGAGGUACCGGUUACCAGGUACCUCAAAAAAGGAUAUUUUUGUCUUUUAAUACAUGGGCAAUUUAGUCAUUUUACAUCUACUAUAUUUUCAAAAUUUUUAUUUUUUCUUUGUUUCCUUUUUCUCUCUCUAUCUUUCCUUUCAUAAUUUGGCAUUUCAUAUAAAAAAAAUUUCAAAUGAUUUGACAAUAUGAUCAUUGAAUUUAAACUUUAAAUAGUAAUAUGAAAUUCCUCUAAUUUA